UACAGAGGUCUCAAGCGUUGUUCGGAUUCAUUGGGCGUAAAGGGUGCGUAGGCGGCGCGGUAAGUCGGAUGUGAAAUCUCGGAGCUUAACUUCGAAACUGCAUUCGAUACUGCCGUGCUUGAGGACUGGAGAGGAGACUGGAAUUCCUGGUGUAGCGGUGAAAUGCGCAGAUAUCAGGAGGAACACCGGUGGCGAAGGCGGUUCUCUGGGCCUACUGACCUGACGUGAGGAGCGAAAGCUGGGGAGCGAACAGG
rnacentral:rRNA from 1 species